rnacentral:lncRNA from 1 species
AACGUCCUCAAGAAAGAACCCAGACGAGAUCCAUGAUACCUGAGUCAUAAAACAAAAGGAAAUGUGGAAGCGUUUUUUAUGGAGACUGUGACAGGGAAGACGCUCAGUGUUCUGGCAGUCAGUUUCCAGCAGAGGAACACUAACCAGUGCUGUUUGUUUUCAGUCAUUGUCAUGAAUAGCAGUGUUAAAGCAGUAGUGAUUAUAAAUUCAUAUGUAAAAUAUAGUCCAAGAUUGCAGGAAGAUACCUUUAAGCAUUUUUUGUUACAUUGUAAAUGUAAUAUCCACAAAAGUUAUGCUCCCUGGUGCCCUGCGUGUCAGAAUCUUCAGCCAGAAUGGGAAAGCUUUGCUGAGUGGGGAGAAGAUCUGGAGGUUAAAGUUGCAAAAGUGGACGUCACAGAGCAGACAGGGCUGAGUGGACGGUUUAUCAUAACUGCUCUUCCUUCUAUUUACCAUUGUAAAGAUGGUGAAUUUAGGCGCUAUCUGGGCCCAAGAACUAAGAAAGACUUCAUAAACUUCAUAAGUGAGAAAGAAUGGAAGAACGUUGAACCUGUAUCAUCAUGGUUUGGUCCAAGCUCUGUUCUGAUGACCACUAUGUCAGCACUUUUUCAGCUCUCUGUGUACAUCAGGACUAGCCACAGCUAUUUUGUUCAUGACCUUGGAAUCCCGGCAUGGGGCUCAUACUUGGUUUUUGCUUUCGCAACAGUGCUCUCAGGACUCCUGCUGGGACUCUGUAUGAUAUUUGUAGCAGAUUGCCUUUGCCCUUCAA